rnacentral:piRNA from 1 species
CACAGGAUGGAGCACUUUUCCCUACUG